rnacentral:lncRNA from 1 species
CCAAAUGCAAGAUUAUAAAAUGCGAGACAGCUGACAUUUAUCAAGCAACCUCACAGACACAUGUCAAAUUUACUUCUGUGUGGCAAAGAAAAGUUUUACCUGCUGUGUGCGUCUAGACACUGAUUAAUCUUAGAGAAGACCUAAAGUGAUGACAGCAGCAAAAAUUUAUAAAGGCAUUUAAAAUAUAUGCUUAAGUAUAAUUGCUUUGAAG